ensembl:miRNA
GUGAGCAGUCUCCACCACCUCCCCUGCAAACGUCCAGUGGUGCAGAGGUAAUGGACGUUGGCUCUGGUGGUGAUGGACAGUCCGA